rnacentral:rRNA from 1 species
UACGUAGGGUCCGAGCGUUGUCCGGAAUUACUGGGCGUAAAGAGCUCGUAGGUGGUUUGUCGCGUUGUUCGUGAAAACUCACAGCUUAACUGUGGGCGUGCGGGCGAUACGGGCAUCACUUGAGUUCGGCAGGGGAGACUGGAAUUCCUGGUGUAGCGGUGAAAUGCGCAGAUAUCAGGAGGAACACCGGUGGCGAAGGCGGGUCUCUGGGCCGAUACUGACGCUGGAGGAGCGAAAAGCCGUGGGGAGCGAACAGG